CGCACACACACACACACACACACACACACACACACACACACACACACACACACACACACACACAAUCAAGUUAAUGUAGCUUUGUAAUCUUUUAGGGGAAUCAAAAUACACAAUAAAUGGAUCUUGAUGCAAUUAAAUAUACAGACAUUUUUGAAUAAUUAUUUAUGAAUGACUCAUUAAGAGACAUAUAAACCACUAACUCAGCUGAACAGCAGGUUGAAGCUGUUUCCGUGGAGAAAGUAUUUUGUUCCGUAUCUGAACCCAUGCAUACGAGCUUCUAGCAAAUAGCAGUGGGCUCAAAAGUAUUUGGACACUAAAGUCAUGCUUAAAAUGUAGGAAUUUCAUUUCAUGGAUAACUAAAUAAAGUGGCAUCUGCAAACAAAUGAUGCCAGAGCUAAUCAGAUCUAAUGUUACUUUUCUGAACCAUUUUUGUAAUGACUGUGGUGGAACAACACGCCCCUCCUUUGGAUUAUCAUUGCCCCACCUCUUCUGAAGGCCAUCCUUCAGUCAGGCUCACAACGGGAGUGGGCAGGAGAGACACAAUUUAAAAUCCUUGUUUGGCAGCGGAUGAUGAGGCGUACCGAAUUAGAUGCACCGCCAGACCCGCCACUGUGGUGGAGAAUGCGGGUAAAGGUUGAGUGGAGAGAGCACAGAAGGUCAAACAAUGGUAAUGCAACUUGCCCUUUCUUUUUCCAGACAGCUGAAAAACCUGGAUUGUGAUGGAGAAUACAUGGGGACGGCCUCCCAACUGCCAAGAAGGGUAAGUGGCAUUUAAUAAGCAUUCACUCUGCAUCUGAUUGAGGUUGUCAUGUAUAACCCUUUUUUCUCUGUCCCCACCCAAAUGCGUGUGAGAGCGCACCCGGAAAGGUAUCCCCUACACAUCCACUCCAAACAUAGGGCCUAGUUGUGGAAGUAGCAUUCUUGUGUUGACGGCUGAAGAAGGAGCAUCUCUAGCUCUGGAGUACAAAGACAGAUAGGGGCGAGGAAGAAGGUGCCGCCAGGAUGACCCUGGGGAGUUGGGGUGGAUGUGGUUGAAUGACACGUCCCUCCCUUGAAUUAUCAUCAUCCCGCACCUUUUGAGGGGUGUCCUUCAGCCAGGCUCACAACAGUGGGUCAGUAGGGAUUGAGAAGCGUCCGGAUUGAUCCCCAGAUAUGAUCCGGUAAACCGCAUUCCAGGAAGGAGUUCCCGGUUCGUCUUUGUCUGUCACAUUUCUCGGGUGAACUCUGGAGCAUUGUCAUUGACAUCCAGCAGGCGUAUGACAGCAGUGGCGGUGUUGGACAGACCAUACAUGGGGUUUCCCUCCAUAUCGGUGGCCUGGAUGAUCAGGGUGUACUGAGGCACCUUCUGCUCGGC